AAAUUGUUCUUCUUUUAAUUCUAAGAUACGUCAUCUUCAUGCCUAGAUAUCAGUUCUUUUGCGUCUCUUUUCCCACCAUCUCGGAUUUUAGGAUUAUUGGAUAAGAUAUUACAUGAUUUGGAUCAGCAUUCUCAAGUGUAAAAAAACUUUCCAUUGUAAGUCCAAUAGUUUGUUUUUAUUAUGAAUAUCAUAAUUUUGUUGUAAAUAUAUAAUCUCUCGAAGAGCGAUAGAGUGCAUUCCACAUGAGCCUUGCAAUACAAAUAUAUCUAAACUUGAAUAUGACCUUCCUCCUUUUCAAAGCAGAAAAACUCUCGCCAUUGUAAAAUAGAUUUUUAAUAGAAUUAAGGCCCCAUAAAGGCACAGAAUGGGAGACUAUAUCCGGAAUGGAAGCCCUUUAAACAAUUAAAUAGACUAUACCCUCUCCACUUCACGUCUUCGUAGAAAAUCAGCCCUGUUCCUAGGAACCAAUAUCCUAACACUCAUGCACCGCCCCCAGGAAACACGUCCAACUUCUGCAUGUCAAACUCAACAUACUUCAUAAAAUCAGUAACCAUUGAAAUAAUCGCUUCAGACGAUGAUUCAAAAAUAAAGAAUUUGGAAAUUAGAUGGAAACCUGUUUGAGAAAAGGUCAUCAGGUAGUGGUGCCAUUAUAGUAGAUAAUAAUAAAAUUAAAAAAAUCAAAAUAAAAAAUAUUUUACACUUGCCAGCUUUCCGAACGGCACUUAUUUCUAUAAGAUAUCUCUGAAACUGCCCCCUUCAUAGUAAUUUUUUACAUUGAUCCUGAAUAAGCAUGUUUAUUCGUUUUGAUACAAUUCAUUAAAGUACAGGCUGCCAUAUAAUCAAUUUUCGUUACUUCUAGUUUUUGGGUAGAUCCCUUCACACAUUGGAAACGAAAGACAUUGGAAACCAGGAAAUGAAAGCGCUCACGGCUUCUCGAAAUCUGGAGACGAAGAUCUAUCUGGAACUAAAGAUAAUAUAACUACUCUCUCUGAAAAUCAUCAUUCUAUUUCCAACACCAAGCUCCUGCUCAUCAUUAGUAUGCCAGCAAUUCUGCUGAUGAACUUUUAAAAUUUGGCGUCUUAACAAUGGUUUGCAAACUGGUCACCAACAGGCUCAAGCUUCAACAUCCCUGCAUUUCCGGGGCACAUCCUGGACUACCUCAACAAUACUGUGGAAGACCUAUUCCUAAAAUCAUCAAUGGUAGCCUCAAAGUUAAUGGAACAUUUGCAUAAUUUAUAGGACCUGGUUUAGAACUAAUCUAAAUCACAGAGAUAACUCCACCACCCACCAUAAACCUAUAUCGUAUCUUCCUUUUCUAAGUAUAUGUAGUUCGAGGGCGUGCCAAAUAAAAGUGGCUAACCCACACUGCGCAAUGAUGAUUCGGUCCAUUAGGCGCAUAAACAGAGUACACAGGCUUUUCUCGCUUACGAUAAGGACGAAGGUAUCAGUUAGGUUAGGUAUCAGUUACAUACAUCUUAAAUCAGCAACCGAAGGAGUUUUAAGGAGGCGUCUCAUUAGUCAAUGAGAAAAAUGUCUAAAUGCUUAUGGAGACAACUUUAAAAUAAAAUACUCCGUUUGUCAUAUAUUCAUAUUGGCUAACUCGUAAUAAUAAUUGCAAUUACUUACUAUUGUAAGUAUGCUUACAGCAGUAAUUUACUUCUGUAAGUUCUAUAAUGAACCUUCUUAAUGCAUUUUUUAGCCUUAUCAAAAUUGAAGACAUAAAAAUACACACAUUUGGAGACGCUACUUAAUAACACACGAAGGAGGAAACAAAAACGCUAUCAAAAUCUAAUGAAUUACCACUGAGGAAGGUGGCUUUGAAGUAUCUUCAUCGGGCAAUCAAAGUAGUUUUGAACUUUUUAAUUCCGACUUCCUCACUAGUAAAACAACAGAUUUUGAGAGAGUUUUCUUCUUCGCUUAAUUAUUAACAUGCGACCCCUUACGUAUUUUUUAAUUCCCUUUUGACGAGUUUUCUAAACUAAGUAUUAAGAGUGGUCAUUACGGAACAUCAUGUGUAUAAUAACUUACUGUUGAUUCCAGAGCAGGCUGAAAUAUUUUGUCCCGAGUUAUCCUCCCCAUGACAUAUAGAACUUCUCGAGCAGCCCUCUCACCCGCUUCGAUUGCACCUUCCAUAUAUCCACACCAUUCUACAGCAGUUUCUGUUCCGGCAUAAAACAGCCUAUCGAUUGGUUCACGUAUUGUUCUGAAAAUAAAUGUAUUUUUAACAACA
rnacentral:lncRNA from 1 species